GGCCUGAUAGCUCAACUGGUAGAGCACUGCACCGGCAUUGCAGAGGUCAGGAUUUGAAGCACCAUUCAGGCCU
rnacentral:tRNA from 1 species